rnacentral:lncRNA from 7 species
GCGGAGCUCGCGAGAGGACAUCAUGUCCGCGGCGGCGUCGGGCGAGGAAAUGUGCUGAAAGCAGACACUACAAGAGGAUACUACAAGUGGAGGAUCCAAACUAAUCACUUGUGAAAGUCAAUUGCUCCUUUGAUGGAAGAGAACCCGAGGUGCGACUUGGCUGGCUGGCUUCUAGAGGGUUUUGAGUUGGAUGGUGCUGUCUCCUGCCUUGUCUGUACAUUUUUUAAAUUUUUUUUGGACAAGUUAACCAGCUUCUGAGAGAAAUAUCUCAACUGAUUUGGUAACAAUACUCCUAAGUUUGAUGUUUAGUGGAGAAGUCCUCAUCAGACAGAACUCUGAUUGGCAGCAGCUGUCUGGGCAGUCAGAAAUAUUCACUCUGGACUGGCCGUAUAGGACACCUUGUCACUUGUCUGGUGAGGGUGGCAAGUGAGGCACAGUUGGGAAACUGGAGUUACAAAUAAAAAUUUAGAAGACAGAGCCCAAGACUGGGCAGCCCAUUCCAGUGCUUAACAACCAUUUCUCUAAAGAAGCUUUUCCUGAUAUCCAACCUAAGCCUCCCCUGGCGCAGCUUGAGGCAAUUUCCCCUCAUCCUGUCACCUGUCACCAGUGAGAAAAGACCAACCUUGCUCUCACUGUAAUCACCUUUCAGAUAUUGGAAGAGAGCAAUAAGGUCUCCCCUCAGCCUCCUUUUCUCCAGACUAAACACCCCCAGUUCCAUAUUUUAAGAUCUCAUAUUUGGGUACUUGGCUAAAGCCAUUAAUUAAAUGUUUGAAAACUGCUUUUAAAUCUGGGCAUGAUGCCAGAAGCAACAGAGUGAGAGAGGAGUCAUAGUUGAGCUCGGUUUUGAUCUUCACACCAAACAGUGAAACGCAAAUGAACCAAAUGUGGAAAAAAAUAAAUGGCAGGCCCCAUGUUUUUACUUCCUUUAUCAAAUGUGAUUUUGCAAGGUAAUCAGCUAUAAUCUGUAGUCAUGAAAAAGGUGGACAGUGGCAUUUUUAUUUCCAUAUUUUGUUUCUGGUAUUAGAAGUCUGUUGGAAGGCUAGGAAACAGUUGCUGAAAACUUGAUGAAAUAUUCUACAGAUGUUAAAGUCAGUUUGCCAGACAAUCCUUAUUAUAAAUGAAAAUGAGAGAGCUGAUAAAAAAUUCAGAAGCAGAGAAACUUGUGAAAACAGAGUUCCAGGUGGUACAUUCCACUGAAGUCCAGUUCAUGCCCUUAAAUGGCUCUUACAUCUCACAAAGUGACAACUUUCUCAGUAUUUCCUAUCUGCACAGAGUGACAUCAACACACAGACAGGGAGGCAUAGGCAUUGUUGGCUCUAUCCUUUAUUUUGCUCCCAUUUCAUAGAAAAUGAAAAUGUAUUGUUUGAUGAGGUCCUAAUCCUGCAAAGCUGUAAGUGUUCAUUGAUGACAUCAUGUUCACUGCACAAAGUUAAACGCAUGCUUGAUGCUUUUCAGGAUUUAGAAACGGGUACAGCCUUAGGAAAGCAAUAGCUGUGACUUAGCAUAGGCAAGGAAAUCUGUAAAUGCCAUUGAUGAGUAUUCACUGUAGUGAAUUCUGGUCUUACGAAGUGUUCAUAUUUAAAUGUAAUCUAUGUGGAUGCGCUGUGUCACCAGUAAUCUCGCUUUGUUUUAAAGCACUGUGUAAGUUGUACACAUUAACAGUAUUUUUGUAUGUAGUGAGUUAGCAAUCUUUCUCCAUGUAUUUGAUUUUGUAUGUAAGUCACUUUGUAAGUGUGAAAGCAAAGCAGAGUUUGUGCUUUUUUUUUUUUAAAUCUUUAUUCAGCGAUAAUAUGGUGAAAGAGGGACAUGGAAUGUGUGUGUUUUGAACACGGAGCUUUCUGGAUACACUAAAAUUACUGUACAGAAAUUAAUGGAAUCUUUAUAAUGAUUACAUUUGUCUUGAAUUGUACCAUUUGUGUAUCACUUAGAUUUUUGACUAAUAAAUCUCUUUAAUUAUUUCGG